UAUUUUGUCUGGUGAUUGGAAUGAGAAAAAUGUAAAAACCUUAACGAGGAACAAUUGGAGGACAAGUCUGGUGCCAGCACCCGCGGUAAUUCCAGCUCCAAGAGUGUAUAUUAAAGUUGCUGCAGUUAAAACGCUCGUAGUCGGAUUUUGGAACUUGCAUGGGGUCGGUCCGCCGCGAUGGCGUGUACUGAACCAUCAGUUCCUUAUUUUUGGAAGUUCGCCACAUUCCUAACCGUUUGUGGUCAUGGGUUUCGGCCCAGGAGCUCCAAAUCAUUUACUGUGAGUAAACUAGAGUGUUCAAAGCAGGCAUAUAUGUGCCCUGAAUACAUUAGCAUGGGAUAAUAGAAUAGGACUUUUGUUUUAUUUUGUUGGUUUUAUGGAGACGAAAGUAAUGAUUAAUGGGAACAAUUGGGGGCAUUCAUAUUCAAUUGCCAGAGGUAAAAUUCUAAGAUCAAUUGAAGAUGCACGGAAGCGAAAGCUUAUGCCAAGGAUGUGUCCAUCGAUCAAGAACGAAAGUUGGGGGAUCGAAGACGAUCAGAUACCGUCGUAGUCUCAACCAUAAACGAUGACGACCCGGGAUUCGAAAACGUUGUUUUGACCUUUCCAGCACCGUG
rnacentral:rRNA from 1 species